AUUGAACGCUGGCGGCAGGCCUAACACAUGCAAGUCGAGCGAGCGGCGGACGGGUGAGUAAUGUCUGGGAAACUGCCUGAUGGAGGGGGAUAACUACUGGAAACGGUAGCUAAUACCGCAUACCAUCAGAUGUGCCCAGAUGGGAUUAGCUAGUAGGUGGGGUAAUGGCUCACCUAGGCGACGAUCCCUAGCUGGUCUGAGAGGAUGACCAGCACAACUGGAACUGAGACACGGUCCAGACUCCGACGGGAGGCAGCAGUGGGGAAUAUUGCACAAUGGGCGCAAGCCUGAUGCAGCCAUGCCGCGUGUGUGAAGAAGGCCUUAGGGUUGUAAAGCACUUUCAGCGGGGAGGCGUUACUCGCAGAAGAAGCACCGGCUAACUCCGUGCCAGCAGCCGCGGUAAUAC
rnacentral:rRNA from 1 species